CCCUCUUAUUAAGCUCAGUAAGGAAGGCCUCUCCAAACAGCUUGCCCUGUGCCAAGGGGCCCAAUUCCUUAUCCCCCAGUUCGACAAGUUUGUCGUCAAUGCGAAAAAGUGCUGCUUGGCGCCUCUCCGCAGAGAGGGCCACGUUCGUGUUCCCGAGGAAACAGAAGCCUCUAUGUGCCCACUCUCAGGUAUCCCGUGCCCACUCACGCACCAUAUCUGGGGUGAAGUCAUCAGCCCUUUCAUAGGUGUCAUCCGCCAUGUCCAAGAUCCUCGCCAAUGGCCCGAUGGCGUCCAGCAAUUUGUCUUGGGCUCCCUUAAAGCCACGUUCCACGCCCGUGCGUGGGUCCCAACCCCC